rnacentral:rRNA from 1 species
UACGUAGGGUGCAAGCGUUUGUCCGGAAUUAUUGGGCGUAAAGAGUUCGUAGGCGGUUUGUCGCGUCCGUUGUGAAAGCUUGGGGCUCAACCCCAAGUCUGCAGUGGAUACGGGCAGACUAGAGUCAGGUAGGGGAGAACGGAAUUCCUGGUGUAGCGGUGAAUGACGCAGAUAUCAGGAGGAACACCGGUGGCGAAGGCGGGUCUCUGGACAGUUCCUGACACUGAGGCACGAAGGCCAGGGGAGCAAACGGG